rnacentral:rRNA from 1 species
ACGGGCCUACGGGGGGCAGCAGUGAGGAAUAUUGGUCAAUGGACGCAAGUCUGAACCAGCCAUGCCGCGUGCAGGAAGACGGCUCUAUGAGUUGUAAACUGCUUUUGUACGAGGGUAAAUGCAGGUACGUGUAUCUGUUUGAAAGUAUCGUACGAAUAAGGAUCGGCUAACUCCGUGCCAGCAGCCGCGGUAAUACGGAGGAUCCAAGCGUUAUCCGGAUUUAUUGGGUUUAAAGGGUGCGUAGGCGGUUUUAUAAGUUAGAGGUGAAAGCUCGGGGCUCAACUCCGAAAUUGCCUAUUAUACUU